AGGGCUUUCGAAAUUCCCGCCCAUUGUUUCGGGGUCGGAUCAACGCCGCUUGGAUUGUGAGAGCUGGGAUGGAGAAGAAUAAUCGAUCCCUCGGGCAUGCGCUAAACCGAAAAAUUGCGAUAAAGAAUGGACGAAAAUGGCUGUUCGAUGGGAUAUACGCAUAUGAUGCAGUAAUCGAGCUCAACGAUCAUUUCUGAGGAUCCUUUCCUAAUUCCUUUCUCUCUUCAUCGACGCCUCGCACGCUAUGCAUAAUUCGAGACGUGCUCGCCCAAAUUAUUGGGGAUGUCAGACGCAGCUGCCCGGCUCACAUGAUGCAGAGUAGCCCCGUUAUACAGCCGGCUGACGGACCGGGAGUAUCGGGACUGAAACUCGUUCCUAUCGGACUGAUCCUACCCGAUCCUUGAGGAUUCGAUGUAGUCGGUUGAGAGAGCGCUUGAAGGACAGUGGGAGACGUUGUCGGGGUAGGC